AUGGGUGUGAUGAUUAUUUCCCCAGAUGAUCGAAACUGAACAUACUGUGCGAUUUUGUUUCUCUUUGGAGAAAUCAAGCCAAAUAAUCUGAUCCAU
rfam:Medicago truncatula strain A17 chromosome 3, whole genome shotgun sequence.